CGAGUCGGGAACCCACCGCCCCCUCCCGGCGCGGCGCCACCCAGCCGAGCCCCUCCGCGCUCCGCACGCGCCAGGACUACAUCUCCCCGCAGCCCUCGGGAGCGGGGCCGCCUCUCGCACCGCGAGGCCGCCUGGGAAGCGUGGUCACUCCCGCCCUUCUGCUCGGCCACCGCCCGCGGGCCGGGUCCCCGCCUGAGGCGGGCGCGGGGCGGGGCGGCCGCAGAGGCGCGUAGCCAGGCGAGGGGGGGGGAGGGCGGCGCGGCCCUCCCGCGCCCAGGGGCGGGGAGCGCGGCGCCGGCCCCGCCUGUGGCGCUCCGUGGAGCUGUUCAGCGCCCAGGUGCUGAGUCUCCCCCCGGCUCACGGAGGCUCCGGCGGCUCUCCCUUCUCACCGCUCACCGGCGCGGCUAUGGCUCCGGCGCUCAGCCGCCCGCUCCGGGCACUCUGAGCGCCGCGCCCCGGUGCGGAUGCGGCAGAUCCAGGCGCCCCUGUUUCCGCGGGGGGACACGGCAGAGAGAGGAGCCGCACCGCCUCACGACGCCCCGGCCGCCAUCUCGUGCUCUCCUCACAGAGCUCCCGCCGUCCCUGAUUGGCUCUUUCCAUUCGCGCCUGCGGCUCUGCGGCCGAACAGCCAAUCAGAGCACGAGUGGCGGGAAAGCGGGCUCCUCGUUAUCGCGCCCCUCAGAGGGCGGGAAGGUCAGGGGAGUUUCCCCAGAGCUCGCGAGUAUCACGACCAUCUUUUCCUCGGGAGAGGUGAGCCCUUAAGAAGUAACUGAAACUUCAUUUUCUCAUUUCUUUCCUGACUUUGUCAAGCUUGUCUUACAGAAAAAGUAGAGGAGAACAAAAGCCUGAAUGAGUGCAGCAAUAGUGGUAGCUGAGGGAGAGUCAGAGGUGUGAGGAGAACUGGGGCUGGGACAGCGUGGCUGCUGCUGCUGGGCUCCUGAGCCACCCUGCCUGACAGAGCACAGGUUUCUCUCUGUGAGGGUCUCUUAGUUCUGUUUCUC
rnacentral:lncRNA from 1 species